rnacentral:rRNA from 1 species
AUUGAACGCUCGCGGGAUGCUUUACACAUGCAAGUCGAACGGCAGCGCGGACUUCGGUCUGGCGGCGAGUGGCGAACGGGUGAGUAAUGUAUCGGAACGUGCCCAGUAGCGGGGGAUAACUACGCGAAAGCGUAGCUAAUACCGCAUACGCCCUACGGGGGAAAGCAGGGGAUCGUAAGACCUUGCACUAUUGGAGCGGCCGAUAUCGGAUUAGCUAGUUGGUGAGGUAACGGCUCACCAAGGCGACGAUCCGUAGCUGGUUUGAGAGGACAACCAGCCACACUGGGACUGAGACACGGCCCAGACUCCUACGGGAGGCAGCAGUGGGGAAUUUUGGACAAUGGGGGCAACCCUGAUCCAGCCAUCCCGCGUGUGCGAUGAAGGCCUUCGGGUUGUAAAGCACUUUUGGCAGGAAAGAAACGUCGCGGGCUAAUACCCCGUGGAACUGACGGUACCUGCAGAAUAAGCACCGGCUAACUACGUG